ensembl:rRNA 5S_rRNA 5S ribosomal RNA
ACUGACAGUAAUCUGCCCGCAGCUAGCUCUCACCAACUCUCACAUAAUCACCCCCUGAAGCUAAGCAGGGCUGCGCCCAGUAAGUACCUGGAUGGGAGACCACAUGGGAAAGCUAGGUUGCUGACCGAA